GCUUCUGCUCUUUUGCUCAGGCCUGUGGUGCCAGCAAGGUGGGAAAGGGUAGUGGUCUUCAUACUUCUGGGAAGCUGUGUCACCACCGGUGAGAUUAGAAGUGGCAUGGUGAAUGGUACAAGAAAGCUCAUUUGGGCACAGCCCUGAAGGCGAAAACCUUUUGGGGGUACUUCCCGUGCAAAGGGAAUUAUAGUAGAAAAUUGUACUGGAAAAACUAGGGGUUGAAGCCACACAGUCAAAUUCUGCCAUUAGAAAGUGUGUCGGGGUCCAGCUGAUCAAGAACAGGAAAAAAAAAAAAAAAUCACAGUCCUUUUCUUGAAUGAUGGUCGCUGGAGUUUUAUUGAGGAAAAUAGUGAGGUUCUGGUUGCUAGAUUUGGUCACAAAAGUCAUGGUGUUGGUGACAUUCCUGGAGUCUGCCUGAAGGUUGUUUCUUUCAUUCAUUCAUUCAUUCAUUCAUUCAUUCAUUUGAGAAAUAGAGCACAAGAGAGGCAGAGGAACAGAGGAAGAGAGGGAGUGAAUCUUCAGCAGACUUCAUGGUCAGCGUGGAACCUUACGUGAGGCUCAAUCCCAUGGCCCUGGGAUCAUGACCUGUCCCGAAAUGAAGAGUCAGACACUCAACCAUCUGAGCCACCAAGGCACCUGUAAGGUUGUUCAAAUAGUCAAUCUCUCUCUUUUGGCUGUAUAUGAAACAAGAAGGAAA